AAAUGAGAGUCCUCGGCCUUCUCUACCCAGUUCUUCCCAUAGUCGGGGAAAAGCUGGGUUGAGAGGGCGAAAAAAAAAAAAAA
rnacentral:pre_miRNA from 13 species